ensembl:lncRNA
GGGAAUGCUGGUUUGGGAAUUUGGCACUUGGGGAUUCCGGUGUUGGGAAUUUGGCACUUGGGGAUUGGGGAUUCUGUGUUGGAAAUCGAAGAUUCUGAGUUGGGAAUUCCAAGUUGGGAAUUUAGGUGUCGGGAGAUCCGAGUUUGGAAUUUGAUGUAGGGAAUUCCAAGUUGGGAGUUCCAAGUUGGGAGAUCCAAGUUGGGAAUUUCGGUGUCGGGAGAUCCAAGUUGGGAAUUUUGAUUUGGGAGAUUCAAGUUGGGAAUUUCGGUGUCGGGAGUUCCAAGUUGGGAUUUUUGAGCUGGGAGCUCCAAGUUGGGAGAUCCAAGUUGGGAAUUUCGGUGUCGGGAAUUCCAAGUUGGGAAUUUUGAUUUGGGAGAUCCAAGUUGGGAAUUUCGGUGUUGGGAGUUCCGAGUUGGGAAUUUCGGUGUCGGGAGUUCCGAGUUGGGAAUUUUGAUUUGGGAGAUCCAAGUUUGUCAGGAGAUCCGAGUUGGGAAUUUCAGUGUCGGGAGUUCCGAGUUGGGAGCUCCAAGUUGGGAAUUUCGGUGUCGGGAGUUCCGAGUUGGGAUUUUUGAGCUGGGAGCUCCAAGUUGGGAAUUUUGGUGUCGGGAGUUCCGAGUUGGGAAUUUUGAUUUGGGAGAUUCAAGUUGGGAAUUUUGGUGUCGGGAGUUCCGAGCUGGGAAUUUCAGUGUCGGGAGUUCCGAGCUGGGAAUUUUGAUUUGGGAGAUUCAAGUUUGUCAGGAGAUUCAAGUUGGGAAUUUCGGUGUCGGGAGUUCCGAGUUGGGAUUUUUGAGCUGGGAGCUCCAAGUUGGGAGAUCCAAGUUGGGAAUUUCAGAGUUGGGAAUUUCGGUGUUGGGAGUUCCGAGCUGGGAAUUUUGGUGUCGGGAGUUCCGAGCUGGGAAUUUCGGUGUCGGGAGUUCCGAGUUUGGAAUUUUGAUUUGGGAGAUCCAAGUUGGGAAUUUUGAUGUAAGGAGUUCUGAGUUGGGAAUUUCGGUGUUGGGAGAUCCNAACACCGGGAAACAGCAGGGAACGAACACCGGGAAACACCAGGGGACACCAGGAAACACCAGGAACCCGGGAAACACCGGGGAACAAACACCAGGGAACACUGGGAAACAGCAGAGAACGAACACCGGGGAACAAACACCGGGGGACAGCGAGGAACACCGGGAAACACCAGGGAACACUGGGGAACACCGGGAACCCCGGAAACACUGGGGAACAAACACCAGGGAACACUGGGAAACACUGGGAAACAAACACCGGGGAACACCGGGGAACACCGGGGAACACUGGGGAACACCGGGAAACACCAGAAACACUGGGGAACAAACACCAGGGAACAGCAGGAAACAAACACUGGGAAACACUGGGGAACAAACACCGGGGAACACUGGGGAACACCGGGAACCCGGGGAACACUGGGAAACAAACACUGGGGAACAGCAGGAAACAAACACUGGGAAACACUGGGGAACAAACACUGGGAAACACCGGGAAUCACCGGGAAACAAACACCAGGGGAACACCGGGGAACACCAGGAACCUGGGAAACACCGGGGAACAAACACCAGGGAACACUGGGGAACCCUAGGAAUCACUGGGGAACAGCGGGAACAAACACCGGGGAACACCGGGGAACACCGGGAAACAGUGGAGAACACCAGGAAACAAACACCAGGAAACACCAGGGAACACUGGGGAACACCGGGAAACAGCAGGGAACGAACACCGGGAAACACCAGGGGACACCAGGAAACACCAGGAACCCGGGAAACUUUGGGGAACAAACACCAGGGAACACUGGGGAACAGCAGAGAACGAACACCGGGGAACAAACACCGGGGGACAGCGAGGAACACCGGGAAACACCAGGGAACAGUGGGGAACACCGGGAACCCCGGAAACACUGGGGAACAAACACCAGGGAACAGCAGGAAACACCGGGGAACACUGGGGAACACCGGGAACCCGGGAAACACUGGGGAACACUGGGAAACAAACACCGGGGAACACUGGGGAACACCAGGAACCUGGGAAACACCGGGGAACAAACACCAGGGAACACUGGGGAACCCUAGGAAUCACUGGGGAACAGCGGGAACAAACACCAGGGAACACCGGGGAACAAUGGGGAACACCGGGAAACAGUGGAGAACACCAGGAAACAAACACCGGGAAACAGCAGGGAACGAACACCGGGAAACACCAGGGGACACCAGGAAACACCAGGAACCCGGGAAACACUGGGGAACAAACACCAGGGAACACUGGGAAACACUGGGGAACACUGGGAAACAAACACCGGGGAACAGCAGGAAACAAACACUGGGAAACACCGGGGAACAAACACUGGGAAUCACCGGGAAACAGCGGGAAACAAACACCAGGGGAACACGGGGGAACAAACACCAAGGAACACCAGGAAACAG